ensembl:lncRNA
AGCAGAGGUGCAGCCUGGCUGCAGCCCUUCCACUCACACAGCUCAACUGCCUUCACCUGUGCUCCCACGGCUGACUCAGCGCUCGCCUCAGGUGGUCAAUCAGAGGUUCAGGCCGUGAUUCAACAGUUCCUGUACAUACAUCCACUGAAAAACGUGGAGUUUAUGCAGAUAAAAGCCACAUGCGUUGUGGUAACUGCCUUUUUACUUGUGUAUCUACAGGGAGCAGCACGCCAGCACUGUUUCCUAGAACCUGUCGCUUACUGUGCAGUGCUUGUAUCAUCAGCCCUACAGUGUACCUCCUCAAGGCUGGUGAAAUGCUGAG